rnacentral:rRNA from 1 species
UACGUAGGGACCGAGCGUUGUCCGGAAUCAUUGGGCGUAAAGAGCGUGUAGGCGGCCACUUAAGUCCUGCGUGAAAUCUUGCGGCUCAACCGCAAGCGGUCGUGGGAAACUGGGUGGCUAGAGUGCGGGAGAGGAGAGUGGAAUUCCUGGUGUAGCGGUGGAAUGCGCAGAUAUCAGGAAGAACACCCGUGGCGAAGGCGGCUCUCUGGAACGAAACUGACGCUGAGACGCGAAAGCGUGGGGAGCAAACAGG